AUGGACCUCCUUUUCCUGGAGAAGCUCCUCGUCGGCCUCUUCGCGUCCGUGCUGGUCGCCGUCGCCGUGUCCAAGCUCCGCGGUCGCAAGCUCCGGCUGCCGCCCGGCCCUGUCCCGGUGCCCAUCUUCGGCAACUGGCUCCAGGUCGGGGACGACCUCAACCACCGCAACCUAGCGGCGCUGGCCCGCAGGUUCGGAGAGAUCUUCCUCCUCCGCAUGGGCCAGCGCAACGUGGUGGUGGUCUCCUCCCCGGAUCUCGCGCGCGAGGUGCUCCACGCGCGGGGGGCGGAGUUCGGCUCCCGCGGCCGGAACGUGGUGUUCGACGUCUUCACCGACGGGGGCCAGGACAUGGUGUUCGCGGCGUACGGCGACCACUGGCGCACGAUGCGCCGCGUCAUGACGGCGCCCUUCUUCACGGGCAAGGUGGUGCAGCGGCACCACGCAGGAUGGGAGGCCGAGGCCGCGGCCGUCGUGGACGCCGUCCGCGCCGACCCCGCCGCCGCCACCGGCGGCGUCGUGCUCCGCCGCCACAUGCAGCUCAUGAUGUACAACAACAUGUACGGCCUCAUGUUCGGCCGGCGGUUCGAGGGCCUGGACGACCCCCUGCUCCUCCGCCUCAGGGAGCUCAACGGCGAGCGCAGCCGCCUCGCGCAGAGCUUCGAGUACAACUACGGCGACUUCAUUCCCGUCCUGCGUCCGUUCCUCCGCGGCUACCUCAAGAUCUGCAAGGAGGUCAAGGACGCCCGCCUCAAGCUCUACAAGGAUUGCUUCGUCGAGGAGAGGAGGAAGAUGCUGGCGAGAUUCAAGGCCACGGACAGCCAUGAGCUCAAGUGCGGCAUGGAUGAGAUUCUGGAGGCGCAGCGCAAGGGCGAGAUCAACGAGGAUCACGUGCUCUUCAUCGUCGAGAAUAUCAACGUUGCCGCGAUCGAGACGACGCUGUGGGCGAUGGAGUGGGCGGUGGCCGAGCUGGUGAACCACCCGGAGACCCAGCAGAAGCUGCGGCGCGAGAUGGACACCGUGCUGGGAGCCGGCCACCAGGUCACCGAGCCGGACACGCACAGGCUCCCCUACCUGCAGGCCGUGGUCAAGGAGGCGCUCCGGCUGCGCAUGGCCAUCCCGCUGCUGGUGCCGCACAUGAACCUCCGCGCCGCCGAGCUCGGCGGCCACGGCGUCCCCGCCGAGAGCAAGGUCCUCGUCAACGCCUGGCACCUCGCCAACGACCCCGGCCUGUGGGAGCGGCCCGGCGAGUUCCGCCCCGAGAGGUUCCUGGAGGAGGAGAGGCACGUCGAGGCCGGCGGCAACGACUUCAGGUACCUCCCCUUCGGCGCCGGCCGCAGGAGCUGCCCGGGCAUCGUCCUCGCGCUGCCGUUCCUCUGCAUUACCGUCGGCCACCUCGUGCAGAACUUCGAGCUGCUGCCGCCGCCCGGGCAGGGCAUGCUCGACACCACUGAGAAAGGCGGGCAGUUCAGCCUCCACAUCUUGAAGCAUUCCACCAUCGUGGCCAAACCGAGGGUGUUUUAA
rnacentral:rRNA from 1 species